CAGCCGCCGCGGUAACACAGAGGGUGCGAGCGUUAAUCGGAUUUACUGGGCGUAAAGCGUGCGUAGGCGGCUUUUUAAGUCGGAUGUGAAAUCCCUGAGCUUAACUUAGGAAUAGCAUUCGAUACUGGGAAGCUAGAGUAUGGGAGAGGAUGGUAGAAUUCCAGGUGUAGCGGUGAAAUGCGUAGAGAUCUGGAGGAAUACCGAUGGCGAAGGCAGCCAUCUGGCCUAAUACUGACGCUGAGGUACGAAAGCAUGGGGAGCAAACAGGAUUAGAUACCCCAGUAGUCCCUGUCUCUUAUAC
rnacentral:rRNA from 1 species